GUCCUCCUCAUGCAGAGGAGCCCAGAGCAGCACUCCUGGUGGGAUCUCACAAGAGUUGACUAGAGUGAGAGGAUCACCUCCCCCAGCCCGCUUGGCCACACUGCUUUUGAUGCAGCCCAGGAUGCCACUAGCAAAAUACUUCUUGUGGUUAUAAAAAUAUUGUAUGCUACAGUUGCAGAACCUCAUCUUGACUCAUGGAGCCCCACACAAAGUAAAGAAACACCACAGAGACAUCACAGUCCUGUUUUGCUGGCAGUGCAUGAAAACCUGCCAAAGUGACAGGCCCCACAACAGAAAUCUGCUGUCCUCAAAGCGGCUGUGCUUCUCAAGGCUGCAGUCACACGUGUCCAAGGACCUGAUCCUUAUCCUUCAAAUCAACCUAAUGCUUCCACAUCCCAGAUGGCCUUACAAGCCCCAAGAAAGCCACACAGGAGCUGAACGAAAAACAAUCCUCUCCCUUUUGAAGGUGUUUCUGGUAUCCAGUGACAUGCACAGGCCUUUUGGUUCCUCAGGAUAUGAAUGCCUCCAUCAUAUACCUACAUGGGAAUAUUUGGCAUGUAAUAAGUUUUUAGGCAGUCCCCACAGAUGCCUUGAUCACCACCACAUUUCUUCCCCAGCCUGGAACUGUACACAAUAGCAACCUGUUCUGCGUAGACUGUGGAUAGAAAGGCAUCCAGGGACUCUGAUGUUUGACAAAGAUGUGCCUAGGCUGCUGCCAGAACACGUUCUAGAGAGCUUGCUGUUGCUUCUCUGUCCCCUUGUCAGUCCCACAAGCUUUUACAUGUUUUUCCCAAGAUCUCUCUUCUCUCUUUCCCACUUUCAGAUUGGCCAAAACACAACUCCGAAUUUGGCAGCAAUCCCCUAAGGAAAGAAUCCAUCCAUAUUUUUCUCCAAAUGCAGCACAGUGUGUGGGGAUAUUCUGAAAGAAUCUGGUGAGGGAUUUCACAUGGGAGGCAGCAUGAAAAAAAUGCAUAACAACUGAGAAAUUCUCGAGUGUAGUAGGUCAUACAUGUGAUGGAUCAGCUGGCCUAAGGAACUGAAGCACUCAAAGCACCUGUUUCAGGUAUGGACAUGGGACACCGAUGCCAGAUGUCUGUGCUGGUUUCCAUGAUGGCAAGAGAGCAAGGAGCUCGUAAAGAGCUCACUACCCAUUCUCACUAGGACAAACACAACAAAUUAGCACACCUUCUCAGACCAAGAAUAGAAAAUGAAGGCACUUCCUUUCCUCUUUCCCCAUAUUUACAUUUCUCAGCCUUUCCUACCUAAUGGAAAAAUAUAAUAUUUAUUCCUAAUAAUUCCUAAUUAUUCCUAAUUUAUUCUUCAUAAUUCCUAAUUAUUCCUAAUAAUGGAAUAUCUAUCAUAACCAUGCUCUCUCCUUCUCAAAAAUGAAUCUCCAGUAUGGAGUUCAGCUACCUGAAAGACCAGCAUCUAAACUUUCUUCUGGAAAUAAAAAUAAACCCCCCCAGUCCCCUAUCA
rnacentral:lncRNA from 1 species